CAUCCCCAAUUUUCUCUCUAAGUCUCUAGACUUCUCACCAAGGCCAAUUCCGAGCUCUCCUCUCACCAGAAGAAGAUCUUCAAGGUCAACAACCACAUUGGCGUUGCCAUUGCCAGACUCACCGCCGACGUUCGUGUUUUCUCCCGGUACAUGCAAUCUGAGGUCUUUAAUCACUCCUUCACUUACGAGUCUCCUCUCCCCGUUGGUCGACUCGUUGUUCAGCUUGUCGGUAUAGUGUAGUUGGAGCUCAACCAACAAUUGAAAUUGUUGCAAAAGAAAAUAAGGUAACGAUAAUGGACCAUGAGGAAGGGAGUUUGACUAAAGAGUUGGUUGAAGAUCCAAAGGUGAUUACUAGAAGAAUCUCAAAGGGCUGGAAACCUCAACUUAUUAAUGAACUCCCAGGCACAUUUUGUGGUACUUGGAGCCUUUUGGUAUUUGUUCUCCAUAGAAAGGGAAUCCACAUGCUAGCAACAAGCCUGUAGGGGGUGAUAAAACAUGCACCCUUAAUUCUACAUUUUGUGAUAAUAGUUCUGCCAUGGACAAUUUUCUGAAUAAUUCUUGCCCAGUACAAACACCAAAUACAACGCUCUUUGAUUUUGGAAUAUUCCUUGAUGCUCUUCAAUCUGGUGUAGUGGAGUCAACUGAUUUUCCACAGAAGUUAUUUUACUAUUCUUGGUGGGGACUACAAAAUCUGAUAUAUGCUAAUAUAGGAUAUUUUUCUUUUAUGCUGAACUAGUUGGCAACAAUAGUGUCACUUAGUGUGUGUAUUGCAUUGAAUUUCUUGUUUUGCCGCAUUUUUUGGAAGUGUUGAAGGAUAUUUUUAAACACUUUGGAACUUUGAUUGUGGUAUUAACUUGAAACUUUGAUGAUGGUUAUAGACAAUAUUAUGUAUUCGAUAAUAUAUUUCUA